UCCCUGGUGGCUCAGUGGUAAAGCCAUCUGCCUGCUAAUGUAGGAGACAUGGGUUCAAUUCCUGACCAGGGGA
rnacentral:tRNA from 1 species